rnacentral:lncRNA from 1 species
CUUGUUUUAAAUCACCACACCUGUAAUUUAAUAUUAUGAAUCACAUAAUCCACACCAAAACCUUCCUCGAUCAUUUCUAGAUUUCCAAAGCAUCGAAAUUGUCGCCAAUCAAAUGACUUUAAAGCUAUCUUUGAUCUUUAAAAAACGUAGCUGAAGGCCACUGAAGAUACGAGCAUAAAAAAGAGCAUUGUUGGGAAGGGCACCUUGAAUAUCCAACAAGUUCCGCACACCACAC